rnacentral:rRNA from 1 species
UACAGAGGUCUCAAGCGUUGUUCGGAUUCAUUGGGCGUAAAGCGCGUGUAGGCGGUCCGGUAAGUCCGCUGUGAAAGUCGGGGGCUUAACCCUCGGAUGCCGGUGGAUACUGUCGGGCUUGAGUACGGAAGAGGCGAGUGGAAUUCCUGGUGUAGCGGUGAAAUGCGCAGAUAUCAAGGAGGAACACCAAUUGCGAAGGCAGCUCGCUGGGACGUUAACUGACGCUGAGACGCGAAAGCGUGGGGAGCAAACAGG